GAUGAACGCUGGCGGCGUGCCUAAUACAUGCAAGUCGAGCGAACGGACGAGAAGCUUGCUUCUCUGAUGUUAGCGGCGGACGGGUGAGUAACACGUGGAUAACCUACCUAUAAGACUGGGAUAACUUCGGGAAACCGGAGCUAAUACCGGAUAAUAUUUUGAACCGCAUGGUUCAAAAGUGAAAGACGGUCUUGCUGUCACUUAUAGAUGGAUCCGCGCUGCAUUAGCGAGUUGGUAAGGUAACGGCUUACCAAGGCAACGAUGCGUAGCCGACCUGAGAGGGUGAUCGGCCACACUGGAACUGAGACACGGUCCAGACUCCUACGGGAGGCAGCAGUAGGGAAUCUUCCGCAAUGGGCGAAAGCCUGACGGAGCAACGCCGCGUGAGUGAUGAAGGUCUUCGGAUCGCAAAACUCUGUUAUUAGGGAAGAACAUAUGUGUAAGUAACUGUGCACAUCUUGACGGUACCUAAUCAGAAAGCCACGGCUAACUACGUG
rnacentral:rRNA from 1 species